UUAGGGUUUCAUAUAGACAACCCAGAAAGAAAGAGAAUCAUUCUAGAAACCACAGGUUCUAGCCAGCGACGGUAGAAUCUUACUCGAAUUCCCAUGGAUGGCUUGAGAAUGACAUAGAAACUAUGGGAGGUGAGUGAACCGCAUUCUAGUUCCUUUGAGGGCCUCAAGGUAGUAAGGAUCUAGAAUGUGAGGGAGCCAUGGAGACUAGGGGUGGUGGUGGAACCACCAUUGAUACCGGCGAGCCAACGGCCAGCGAGUAGAAGCUUAGGUUUAGCAGAGGGCUUGAGAGAGAAUAAAAGAGUGUAACGGUGGAGAAAAG
rnacentral:lncRNA from 1 species